UGUCCACAUCCGGAUUUACCUGAACCCCACCCAAGUACAUGUGUGUAGCAAUGAAAAACCAGUAUUCUCUAUCCGUGAAUCACACCC
rnacentral:sRNA from 1 species